rnacentral:tRNA from 1 species
GCGCCCGUAGCUCAACUGGAUAGAGCACCGGUCUUCGGAACCGGGGGUUGGGGGUUCGAAUCCCUCCGGGCGUAC